UACGAAGGGGGCUAGCGUUGUUCGGAAUCACUGGGCGUAAAGCGCACGUAGGCGGCGCGUUAAGUCAGGGGUGAAAUCCUGGAGCGCAACUCCAGAACUGCCCUUGAUACUGGCGUGCUCGAGUGUGGGAGAGGUUGGUGGAACUCCGAGUGUAGAGGUGAAAUUCGUAGAUACUCGGAAGAACACCAGUGGCGAAGGCGGCCAACUGGCCCCUUACUGACGCUGAGGUGCGAAAGCGUGGUGAGCAAACAGG
rnacentral:rRNA from 1 species